UCCUCGAUAGUAUAGUUGUAAGUAUCCCAGCCUGUCACACGGGAGACCAGGUUUCGAUUCCCUGACGGGGAG
rnacentral:tRNA from 1 species